GCCAAACAGAAGUAUCUGUUAUGAGUCAACAAGUAUUUCUUUGGUAUUGGGUCUUUAUUUGCAAUAGCAAAGGAAAAAAAAAAAAGUGCCUGAAGUUCAGUGACCUCCAUCUUCCUCUAAUGCUUUGUUAAGAGCAUCCUAAGUGGCCAAAAAAAGAAAAGUUAAAAUGUUUUAAACUCUGAACCUGAUAGACCUGCAGUUCAAAAAUUUCUUAAAACCUUCCUCAAACUGUGGAAGUUAGGGCGUGUUAUCACUGGAAGGUCACCACGUGCCAACCCCAGCAGGAGACACUGUGGCAGGGGGAACAGAGGACAAGCACAGCUCCAGCACCUUAGAGGGAACUUCAUCAGUUAUCCACCUGCACGUCUCACAGCCUGCCCCUGGACACUGCACUCCCCUCACUGCAUGACCAGACCCCACAUUGCUGUCCCACCCUUCCAACAGCUUUCCACCAGCAUCUCCCCAUGGGCAGCUCUGGGAGGGUGGGCAGCCGUGGCACCUCCCUUUCUGCCUUCUUCUCUGGCUUCCACCCCAUACACCCCAGGCUCCACCUGCUCGUUUGUAGACUGCAAUGCUGAGAGGCAGCAUUUUUUGGCCAAAUGCUGGAUUUUGCCAAGCCUGUCCCUCCAAGUGAUGUGCACUCUGCUGCACGUGGCACUGCUAGUCAGUUCAUUAUCCUAUUAGAUUCCCACACAGCACCUGCUCAAUUGGAGCCUCGUGUGCUGGCAAUUAAUAUGUUAUGCCCUGAUUAAUUAGCAGGGUUAAUUAUGAUUGCUGUUGCUUAAACCUAUGUAGAGAGAGAUGGCAUCAUGUUGCUGUGACUUGCAGUGCUGAGGAUGCACCCCUGGGAAUUGGGACCAGCACGUGGUGGCACCUCUCUGCUACUGGAUGAUGAAAAUGAACCUAACCAGUUGGUGCCACAGGCACUGAAGGGAAUGAGGUCUCCUGCAUUUUUGCCUACAUUUUAUCCAGUGGAACAUAAAGAGCAUUAUUUACAAGCUUCACAGGUGCAGGUGCUGGUGCCCACACUGGCAAGCCACAGCCAGGUGCCGCCGCAGCUUGGGAACAGGUGGAUCUGGAUGCUAGCAGUGAAGCCAAGGGGGUCAGGCAGGCACCGCAGGAGGAACUUCUCAGCUUGGCAGCCAGAAAAGCUGGACAAGAACAGCACAGUGUGUUGUCUCCUACAUGCUGUUCUGUUCUAACAACAUCCAUCAAGACAAAUGCAUACCUGAGCACAGCCUCCCUCAAACCUCAGAAAUCUCUUUCUGAGGUCACAAACUACAAAAAAGACAAAGAAGAAACAAGAAGGAAAUUGUGCAAACAAUUAAACAUUUUUUUUCAAGAGACAUAGAGGAUUCCCCUUGUCUGCACGAGGCAAGCACCAAAAUAAGAAUGCCACAUCUCAAACACAAGGCAAUCUAUUAUUCUCAGAGCAGUAACAUGAUACAUUAUCAGCCACCUUAUCCUAGCAAAAUGUAUCAUUACCUGCACUUUCUGCACUUUCCAGAUCAAUCCACUUUAAAAAUGUAGUAAUAUAGAAGGGUAUUAGGUACUAGAAAACUCAUUAUGAAAAUGGCGCACUCAAAUUCUUUAAAGGUGAUAUUUCAUAAAAUAUACUAUGCCUAGCUCUUGGCUCAAUCAUUCUUUUUAAUAGCUCCAUAGCAGCCAGAAAAUAAAGUAUUCAUGAAGAUUGAAGAAGAUGAUCCC
ensembl:lncRNA